rnacentral:rRNA from 1 species
AAAAACCGAGGUGGUAUGAGAUGGACCCGCGUCUGAUUAGCUGGUUGGCGGGGUAACGGCCCACCAAGGCGACGAUCAGUAGCCGACCUGAGAGGGUGGCCGGCCACAUUGGGACUGAGACACGGCCCAAACUCCUACGGGAGGCAGCAGUGGGGAAUAUUGCACAAUGGGGGAAACCCUGAUGCAGCAACGCCGCGUGAGUGAAGAAGUAUUUCGGUAUGUAAAGCUCUAUCAGCAGGGAAGAGAAUGACGGUACCUGACUAAGAAGCCCCGGCUAACUACGUGCCAGCAGCCGCGGUAAUACGUAGGGGGCGAGCGUUAUCCGGAUUUACUGGGUGUAAAGGGAGCGUAGACGGUUCUGCAAGUCUGAAGUGAAAGCCCGUGGCUUAACCGCGGAACGGCUUUGGAAACUGUGGAACUGGAGUGCUGGAGAGGCAAGCGGAAUUCCUAGUGUAGCGGUGAAAUGCGUAGAUAUUAGGAGGAACACCAGUGGCGAAGGCGGCUUGCUGGACAGUAACUGACGUUGAGGCUCGAAAGCGUGGGGAGCAAACAGGAUUAGAUACCCUGGUAGUCCACGCGGUAAACGAUGAAUGCUAGGUGUUGGGGAGCAAAGC